GCCUUCGUGGUGUAGAUGUCAGCACGUUCGACCCGUAACCGAGAGGUCCGUGGUUCGAAUCCCGACCAAGGCG
rnacentral:tRNA from 1 species